rnacentral:rRNA from 1 species
CGCCGCUCCUCGCUCCGCCGCCUCCUCUCCUCGCCAGCCGUCUCCGCGGCCUGCCUCCUCUUCGGCCUCGCCGGGUUCCUCGCCGCCGCGGUCUCCCUCUCCCGGGUGCCCGCCGAGGCCCCGCGGGGCCGCUGCCCGGACUCCUCGCACCCGCUCUCCGUCUCCGUCGCCUGGGACCGGCGCCCCGGGGAUGCCGCGGGCGGCGCCACUGACCUCCCGGCGGGCCUCGCCACCGGAUCGCGCGGCAGGCACAAGGUGGGGGAGCCGCGACCUCGAACAGAAGGCCGCCGCCUGGGGCGCAUUGAUUCGAGCUAG